UACGUAGGGAGCGAGCGUUAUCCGGAAUUAUUGGGUGUAAAGGGUGCGUAGGCGGUUUGAUAAGUCAGUGGUGAAAGCCUAGAGCUUAACUCUAGUAAGCCAUUGAAACUGUCGAACUUGAGUAUGGUAGAGGCAAGCGGAAUUUCUAGUGUAGCGGUAAAAUGCGUAGAUAUUAGAAGGAACACCAGUGGCGAAGGCGGCUUGCUGGGCCAAGACUGACGCUGAGGCACGAAAGCGUGGGGAGCAAAUAG
rnacentral:rRNA from 1 species